rnacentral:rRNA from 1 species
GACGAACGCUGGCGGCGUGCUUAACACAUGCAAGUCGAACGGAAAGGCCCUGCUUUUGUGGGGUACUCGAGUGGCGAACGGGUGAGUAACACGUGAGUAACCUGCCCUCGACUUUGGGAUAACUUCAGGAAACUGGGGCUAAUACCGGCUAGGAGCUCCUGCUGCAUGGCGGGGGUUGGAAAGUUUCGGCGGUUGGGGUUGGUCUCGCGGCUUAUCAGCUUGUUGGUGGGGUAGUGGCUUACGAAGGCUUUGACGGGUAGCCGGCCUGAGAGGGUGACCGGCCACAUUGGGACUGGGAUAGGGCCCGGACUGCUACGGGAGGCAGCAGUGGGGAAUAGUGCACAAUGGGCGGAGGCCGGAUGGAGGAACGCCGCGUGCGAGAUGACGGCCUUCGGGUUGUAAACCGCUUUCGCCUGUGACGAAGCGUGAGUGACGGUAAUGGGUAAAGAAGCACCGGCUAACUACGUG